rnacentral:lncRNA from 1 species
AAGCAUGUGAAGUACAACUAGAAUAAGGGUCUACGGUCAACAUUCAGGUAAGCAACACAGUGCAACAAUGUUGAAGAGACUUCGCAAUCACUCAAUCCAUUAUAGUAGUUGAAAUAAUAUCCAAAAAUGAAGCACGAAUAGUUCUGUAGACAGUAAAGUUUUCAAAGCCCUAAGUUUCUAGAAUAUAAAUCAUUAAGAAUGCAGUAGAAAGUGGGUUAAAUUAUUUACAAGAUAUUCAAGAUAAAACUGGAGUGAACUUGGUUCAAACACAUAAAGAAUAUUGUUCUCGAGGCAGCGCAUGUAGAAAGUAUCCAAAUAGAUAAGGUGAAGCCUAUUCAUAGAGCAGCGUACAGCAACCAAUAACACCAUCAUCAAUGUCAAUGUCAAUGUACGUGUAUAUUGUCUGCAAUUUCACGGCUAUAUCAUAUUCCUAUGGAAAAAUAUACGCCAACCGAUCGCUUAACGAACAGCCAUGUCCAGAAGGUUUGCUUGGCAGGAUAUACAUAAUACAAGUAAGCAAUAAUUGAUAACUGAACAGUUUUGAAAAGAAAAAUAAAUGGAACAGACAAUUAAGCAGACAAGUCCAAAUUCUUCUAUAACCCAAAACAAUAACAAAGAAUUCUUCAGCAACUAAAAUAAUUGGAACUCUCUCACAAUCACGUAAUCCACUUCCAAAGAGUGGUUCGUUUCUUUAAAAGCUGGAAGGGAUUAGGGAGCACGGUUUAUCCCCUCCGUGUCCCCUUGUCUACGGAGAGAGCCAUCCAAGAUAAGAAAAGUAGAAUUGAGAUUUGAAACUUAGGAGAAAAACGAUUGGAAAGAAGAGAAAAACAAUUCCGUCAAUAAAAGGAAUAUACCUGUGACGAAAAGCAGCGCAGAAUCCAUAAACAAAUCUAGGGAAGGAGACUGAAGCUUUUUGGAGGGAAAUAAUGCAACUUUGUUCUCCGCGCAAGAGACAGAAGAGACGCAGAGACGGAGUGAAAAAGGACCAACUGCGGAGCGCUGAUGCGUUUUUGGUCAUCGUUCUUCUUUUUGAG